rnacentral:rRNA from 1 species
UAGCAUAUCAAUAAGCGGAGGAAAAGAAACCAACAGGGAUUGCCCUAGUAACGGCGAGUGAAGCGGCAACAGCUCAAAUUUGAAAUCUGGCCCUCGGGUCCGAGUUGUUAUUUGUAGAGGAUGCUUUUGGUGCUGUGCCUUCCGAGUUCCCUGGAACGGGACGCCCUAGAGGGUGAGAGCCCCGUCUGGUUGGACGCCAAGCCUUUGUAAAGGUCCUUCCACGAGUCGAAUAGUUUGGGAAUGCUGCUCUAAAUGGGAGGUAUAUGUCUUCUAAAGCUAAAUAUUGGCCAGAGACCGAUAGCGCACAAGUAGAGUGAUCGAAAGAUGAAAAGCACUUUGAAAAGAGAGUUAAAAAGUACGUGAAAUUGUUGAAAGGGAAGCGCUCGUGACCAGACUUGGGCCCGGUUGAUCAUCCAGGGUUCUGCCUGGUGCACUCGUCCGGCCCAGGCCAGCAUCAGUUCGCUGUGGGGGAUAAAGGCUUCGGGAAUGUGGCUCCCUCGGGAGUGUUAUAGCCCGUUGUGUAAUACCCUGCGGCGGACUGAGGUUCGCGCAUUUGCAAGGAUGCUGGCGUAAUGGUCAUCAGCGACCCGUCUUGAAACACGGACCAAGGAGUCGUCUUCGUAUGCGAGUGUUCGGGUGUCAAACCCCUACGCGUAAUGAAAGUGAACGCAGGUGAGAGCUUCGGCGCAUCAUCGACCGAUCCUGAUGUUCUCGGAUGGAUUUGAGUAAGAGCAUACGGGGCCGGACCCGAAAGAAGGUGAACUAUGCCUGUAUAGGGUGAAGCCAGAGGAAACUCUGGUGGAGGCUCGCAGCGGUUCUGACGUGCAAAUCGAUCGUCAAAUAUGGGCAUGGGGGCGAAAGACUAAUCGAACCUUCUUGUUCCUAGUAUCUGCCGCUG